rnacentral:lncRNA from 1 species
AUCAUAGAUGGAGACAAAAUACUGCAAUGAGAGGAUGAGGAUGGAGGGGAGGUGAAAAGAGAGGAAGGGCAACGUGGACAAGCCAGACAGGGGAUCAUGGUGGUGUCAGAGAGGAGGAGGAGGAGAACGAUGGAGAUUAGUCAUCACACCUGGGAGGAAGACACUUCCCUCCUCCCUGUCCUGACCACGCAAAGACACAUUUAAAACUCUGUAAUUAAUCAACAUGAGGCAGGGGACACGUGGGAAGACUUUGGUUUUCAACGGGCUUCAUUGCCACGCAUGCAAACCGGAAACAGAAGAGCUCGAGAAAGUGAGUGGACUAAAAACAGCAGCCGCAGGCCGCCGGUUCGAUGAUCGAGAGACGUGUCCUGGCUUCAGCAUACGAGGAGUGCUUAAGAUGGUCCCUGAAGCCCAAACCUUCCAGACAUCCUUAACAGCAGAGUGAACCUAGCACAAAGGUUAGGAGCUUGUUUCAUCUGUGAGUUGAGUAUUGUACAACAGUGUGUGUCUUUGUGUGUGUCCCAGACUCCUGAAAUGUGAGUUGUGGUAAUGCACCUACCCCACUCUGUCCCCCUGGCUCCUGCCUGUGGAGGUCUCAUCAUCGCCGCAGUAGAAAAUGUUCCCCGUUGGGUGUUCUUUGAAUACUGCUGGGCCGUGGCAAGGGAGCAGCCUGAGCUGCGCUUUUCUGAGGUGAUGUAAUUAUGUAUAAUUUCUUCGCUCAUGCAUUUCUCUUUUCAUUCUGCAAAAAUUAGUCAUGCCCCAAUGAGCCAUCUCUCCUCUCUCUACUUCUGUUUUGUUUUUUCUCUUCACCCCUCCUAAGCCCCUUAGCACUAACCUCCAUUGUCACUACCACUAUCACCCUCCAAAUCAGUGCUGUUACUUCAUUCUGGCAUUCUUGCCUUAUAGCUGGGAGGCAGGAUGAACAAAUCAGGUUCGGUAGCAGGAGAUAUAGCCAGGAUGUCUAGCUUCGCUAUCUGCAUUUCUAAUGGGAAGACUCUUCUCGGUUUGCCACUGUAUUUUUUUCAUAUGGAAAAUUAUAGGUAAUGGCACUUGGUGCUUUCUGCUGUACCCCCGUCUUCUGCUAUCACAUUUACACAUCUCUUGGGCCAUCCUCAUUUUUCUAAAUGUGGCCACUCAUCUGAAGCAUGGGGAGGUUUUCUUAAACUUUUUUUCUGGAAACCACCACUUCAUCCUGUCAGUAUGAAUGAAGGCAAUUUAAAAUGCUGUAGAGGAAUGUACUAAAGCACUGAGGCAUCAGUCAGUGGUCUUUUAGUGCUGUGUACUGAUCCUUCCAUCCUUCGAUCCUGAUCCUUCGGGCAGGACUGGAACUGGACAUCAAUGAGGAGUUGUAAUUCUAAAGUGAGAAUCAAGGUAAGAAUAGGAUGAAUGUUUAUUUAAUUUUGUGAUGAUGCUCACUUAAGCGCAGUGUCAUGGUUUAGGAGACA